rnacentral:rRNA from 1 species
UACAGAGGGUGCGAGCGUUAAUCGGAAUUACUGGGCGUAAAGGGCGCGUAGGCGGCGAACCAAGUCAGAUGUGAAAGUCCUGGGCUUAACCUGGGGACUGCAUUUGAUACUGGUUUGCUUGAAUUCGGGAGAGGAUAGCGGAAUUCCCAGUGUAGAGGUGAAAUUCGUAGAUAUUGGGAAGAACACCGGUGGCGAAGGCGGCUAUCUGGACCGACAUUGACGCUGAGGCGCGAAAGCGUGGGGAGCAAACAGG